rnacentral:rRNA from 1 species
UACGUAGGGGGCAAGCGUUGUCCGGAUUUAUUGGGCGUAAAGAGCGUGUAGGCGCCAGGUAGGUCUGCUGUGAAAACUCGAGGCUUAACCUCGAGCUGUCGGCGGAAACCAUCUGGCUAGAGUCCGGAAGAGGAGAAUGGAAUUCCCGGGUGUAGCGGUGAAAUGCGCAGAUAUCGGGAAGAACACCCGUGGGCGAAGGCG